CCACUUCACCCUCGCCAACGUCUACAUCGCCAUGGAGGAGUUUGAGAAGGCCAUGCGCUGGUAUGAGUCCACUCUGGAGCUGCAGCCAGAGUUUGCCCCUGCCAAGGACCGCCUGAGAACCAUCCAGUGUUACCUGCUAACCAAGAAGGACCGCCGUCUACCCUGAGACGACUCCACAGGAGAAGCCCUCGGCACACACACACCAUACACACAUACAAAAACAUAACUUACAGUAGUUACUCGCAAUAAAUUUGUUGUUGAUUUUUUUAUUUUAUUUUUUUAACGUUUGUUUUAAGUCAUUGCCAUAUAAUUUAUGUCUAAAGGAAUUCAGGGGUUCCAUUCACUGUGACCUCAGACUCUGGUCGUAGGGGGUAAAACCAACCACUUCCAUUCGCUGUGACCUCAGACUCUGGUCGUAGGGGGUAAAACCAACCACUUCCAUUCGCUGUGACCUCAGACUCUGGUCGUAGGGGGUAAAACCAACCACUUCCAUUCGCUGUGACCUCAGACUCUGGUCGUAGGGGGUAAAACCAACCACUUCCAUUCGCAAUUCUAUUAGGAAGCUUUGGGAUGUAUCUCAUCAUUCAGCCUCCCUGUCCCAUAGACUACAGUAUAUAGAGCCCAGCAUAGUCUCAUCAUUCAGCCUCCCUGUCCCAUAGACUACAGUAUAUAGAGCCCAGCAUAGUCUCAUCAUUCAGCCUCCCUGUCCCAUAGACUACAGUAUAUAGAGCCCAGCAUAGUCUCAUCAUUCAGCCUCCCCUGUCCAUAGACUACAGUAUAUAGAGCCCAGCAUAGUCUCAUCAUUCAGCCGCCCUGUCCCAUAGACUACAGUAUAUAGAGCCCAGCAUAGUCUCAUCAUUCAGCCUCCCUGUCCCAUAGACUACAGUAUAUAGAGCCCAGCAUAGUCUCAUCAUUUAGCCUCCCUGUCCCAUAGACUACAGUAUAUAGAGCCCAGCAUAGUCUCAUCAUUCAGCCUCCCUGUCCCAUAGACUAUAGUAUAUAGAGCCCAGCAUAGUCUCAUCAUUCAGCCUCCCUGUCCCAUAGACUACAGUAUAUAGAGCCCAGCAUAGUCUCAUCAUUCAGCCUCCCUGUCCCAUAGACUAUAGUAUAUAGAGCCCAGCAUAGUCUCAUCAUUCAGCCUCCCUGUCCCAUAGACUACAGUAUAUAGAGCCCAGCAUAGUCUCAUCAUUCAGCCUCCCUGUCCCAUAGACUACAGUAUAUAGAGCCCAGCAUAGUCUCAUCAUUCAGCCGCCCUGUCCCAUAGACUACAGUAUAUAGAGCCCAGCAUAGUCUCAUCAUUCAGCCUCCCUGUCCCAUAGACUACACUAUAUAGAGUCCCAUCAUUCAGCCUCCCUGUCCCAUAGACUACAGUAUAAAGAGCCCAGCAUAGUCCCAUCACUCAGCUGUCCCAUAGACUACAGUAUAUAGAGCCUAGCAUAGUCUCAUCAUUCAGCCUCCCUGUCCCAUAGACUACAGUAUAAAGAGCCCAGCAUAGUCCCGUCACUCAGCCUCCCUGUCCCGUAGACUACAGUAUAUAGAGUCCCAUAGACUACAAUAUAUAGAGUCCCAUCAUUCAGCCUCCCUGUCCCGUAGACUACAGUAUAUAGAGUCCCAUCAUUCAGCCUCCCUGUCCCAUAGACUACACUAUAGAGUCCCAUCACUCAGCCUCCCUGUCCCAUAGACUACACUAUAUAGAGUCCCAUCACUCAGCCUCCCUGUCCCAUAGACUACAGUAUAUAGAGUCCCAUCACUCAGCCUCCCUGUCCCAUAGAUUACAGUAUAUAGAGUCCCGUCACUCAGCCUCCCUGUCCCGUAGACUACAGUAUAUAGAGUCCCAUCACUCAGCCUCCCUGUCCCGUAGACUACAGUAUAUAGAGUCCCAUCACUCAGCCUCCCUGUCCCGUAGACUACAGUAUAUAGAGUCCCAUCACUCAGCCUCCCUGUCCCGUAGACUACAGUAUAUAGAGUCCCAUCACUCAGCCUCUGUGUCCCAUAGACUACAGUAUAUAGAGUCCCAUCACUCAGCCUCCCUGUCCCAUAGACUACAGUAUAUAGAGUCCCAUCAUUCAGCCUCCCUGUCCCGUAGACUACAGUAUAUAGAGUCCCAUCAUUCAGCCUCCCUGUCCCGUAGACUACAGUAUAUAGAGUCCCAUAGACUACAGUAUAUAGAGUCCCAUCACUCAGCCUCCCUGUCCCAUAGACUACAGUAUAAGGAGCCAGAAGGCUGCUGUUCUUUGUUCAGUGUAGUUGGACUAGGAAUUACAGACAGGACAUUGUUUUAUUUCAUGAAUUCAUACACAUCCUUCCCUCUGUCCUUCAUUCCUCAAGGUGUUCACUGAAGAAACUAUAUGAUGUAACUGGAAACCUGCCCAAUUCAGUCACAGUUUUGAAGGAAGGAAAUGUGCUUUUAUUUAAUGUGUUGUAAGUGGGGCCCCUACGAUUCGUCUUUUCUUUAAGGGCUGAGAGUCAUUUAGUUUUUCUGGGGGUGGUGAAACACACCGAAGGGAAGAGGUUAUUUGGUUAGGAAUCGAUCAAGAAGGACAAUGCAGUAGUUGAUUUACCAGACAGAUAUAUUCCCAUGGAUGGUGCAUUUAUUUUAAUUGGUAGAACAGUUGUCAUCACACAGUCAUUUCUUAUGAUUAAGAAAAGGUUUGGUAAAGAGACAGAAAUGGCUGCUGGUUUGUAACUUGCUAACUAAAUGCAGGUUUACCGGGCCGUGGAUCUCAACCUUUUUACAAUUAUGGCUGCUUCAAAAAAUGAAUAUCAAUUGUCUUGUUUUGCCCUUGUUUUUAAAAAUCAUUCCUAUUUAUGUGGGGACCUACAAUGAAUAAAUGAAGAUGUAUUUUUCUGAAAGGAACGUUAAGGCAUAGCAACAACAACAAGUUAACUAAUGUGUUUACGUUUGCUCUUUUAUUUAUAGAAAUUAUUUGUCAGAGCCAAGAACUUUUUCAAAAUGUAAAUUGAACUGUUGUGUACAUUAUUAAGGCAGUGGGACAUAGAAGUUGAUCGGCUCAUCGUUUGAAUGUAUCCAUUGUCUUCUUACGAACUUCAGACCUCUGGGAAAUAAAAAGCGAGAUGUUUUGAUGCCUUGAAACUUAAGUUGAA